UUAGAGGAAGUAAAAGUCGUAACAAGGUUUCCGUAGGUGAACCUGCGGAAGGAUCAUUAUUGAAUUCCUUCAGAGAGGAGUUGUUGCUGGCCUUUACGGGCAUGUGCANGCUCUGAUCGACCUUUCAAACCCCUGUGCACAUUUUGUAGGAGAGGGUAACACCUCUUCUAUGUUUUUAUACAUACCCCUUUAAAGUCUAUGAACGUUUUAUAUGAAUAAAAAUUAAAUAUAACUUUCAACAACGGAUCUCUUGGCUCUCGCAUCGAUGAAGAACGCAGCGAAAUGCGAUAAGUAAUGUGAAUUGCAGAAUUCAGUGAAUCAUCGAAUCUUUGAACGCACCUUGCGCUCCUUGGUAUUCCGAGGAGCAUGCCUGUUUGAGUGUCAUUAAAUUCUCAACCCUUCAACUUUAUUGAUGGAGUGGCUUGGACUUGGAGUGUGCUGGUGAUAACAUCGGCUCCUCUUUAAAUGCAUUAGCAGCAACCUUUCAAUGUGCAAUCGGUGUGAUAAUUAUCUACGCCUUAAAAAGCCUUUGAAGUCUGCUUAUAAUCGUCCUUCUGGACAACUUAAUGAUUAUCUUGACCUCAAAUCAGGUAGGACUACCCGCUGAACUUAAGCAUAUCAAUAA
rnacentral:rRNA from 1 species